rnacentral:lncRNA from 1 species
UCACCGCCGGUCCAGUCAUGACAUUCAAGAUGAGGUUGCGCUCCGCCAUGUACCAGGCCUUCACUUGCAGGUCCAUCGUUGCUAAGGGAGUGUAACGCCCAAGAUGCGGUCCUAUCCUUAUUUUGGCUUGAGGGCCUCGACAGGGAUAGAAACACAUGUGGUCGUUUCGCAAAAAUGGAUAUCGUUACAAGUACAUGUACUGAAAAGAUGAGUAUAAGGAGUUGGCUUACACUUGCUACAAGCUACAUCAGAGUCACAUCAGUACAAUACAUACAAUUAUCAUGAAGAAGAGCAGGGUCCGACUACGGAAGAAAACAAAUGAUAAAAGAACGACGUUCAUCCUUGCUAUCGCAGGCUGCCGACCUGGAACUCAUCCUAGAUCGAUGAAGAAGAAGAGGAAGAAGCUCCAAAUAGCAGAAUCAUAG